rnacentral:rRNA from 1 species
GAUGAACGCUAGCGGCAGGCCUAAUACAUGCAAGCUGAACGGCAAGAUUUGUAGCAAUACGAGUCCUAGAGUAGCGUAAGGGUGCGUAACACGUAUGCAAUCUGCCCGCAACAGGAGGAUAGCUUAGCGAAAGUUGAGAUAAGACUCCAUAAGAUCACGAGAGGGCAUCUGAUUGUGAUUAAACUACAAGGGGUUGCGGAUGAGCAUGCGUCUGAUUAGUUAGUUGGCGGGGUAACGGCCCACCAAGACGAUGAUCAGUA